AUUGAACGCUGGCGGCAGGCCUUACACAUGCAAGUCGAACGAGUGGCGGACGGGUGAGUAAUGUAUGGGAAACUGCCCGAUGGAGGGGGAUAACUACUGGAAACGGUAGCUAAUACCGCAUACCAUUGAAUGUGCCCAGAUGGGAGUAGCUAGUAGGUGGGGUAACGGCUCACCUAGGCGACGAUCCCUAGCUGGUCUGAGAGGAAGACAAGCCACACUGGAACUGAUAAACGGUACAGACUCCGACGGGGGGCAGCAGGGGGGAAUAUUGCACAAGGGGGGCAAGCCUGAUGCAGCCAGGCCGCGUGUAUGAAGAAGGCCUUCGGGUUGUAAAGUACUUUCAGCGAGGAGGCGUUACUCGCAGAAGAAGCACCGGCUAACUCCGUGCCAGCCGCCGCGGUAAUAC
rnacentral:rRNA from 1 species